rnacentral:rRNA from 1 species
GGAGGAAAGUAGGGGAUCGCAAGACCUUGCGCUUUUUGAGCGGCCGAUGCCUGAUUAGCUAGUUGGUAAGGUAAUGGCUUACCAAGGCAACGAUCAGUAGCUGGUCUGAGAGGACGACCAGCCACACUGGGACUGAGACACGGCCCAGACUCCUACGGGAGGCAGCAGUGGGGAAUUUUGGACAAUGGGCGAAAGCCUGAUCCAGCCAUGCCGCGUGAGUGAAGAAGGCCUUCGGGUUGUAAAGCCCUUUCGGUCGGGAAGAAAUAGUUGUGGCUAAUAUCCACAAUGAAUGACGGUACCGACAUAAGAAGCACCGGCUAACUACGUGCCAGCAGCCGCGGUAAUACGUAGGGUGCAAGCGUUAAUCGGAAUUAUUGGGCGUAAAGGGUGCGCAGGCGGUUGUAUAAGUCAGAUGUGAAAUCCCUGGGCUUAACCUAGGAAUUGCGUUUGAAACUACAAGGCUAG